rnacentral:rRNA from 2 species
AUGGAGUUUGAUCCUGGCUCAGGAUGAACGCCGGCGGUGUGCCUAAUACAUGCAAGUCGAACGAGUGGCGGACGGGUGAGUAACACGUAGGUAACCUGCCCAGAAGCGGGGGAUAACAUCUGGAAACAGGUGCUAAUACCGCAUAACAAAAGUCACUUCUGGAUGGACCUGCGGCGCAUUAGCUUGUUGGUAGGGUAAUGGCCUACCAAGGCAGUGAUGCGUAGCCGAGUUGAGAGACUGAUCGGCCACAAUGGGACUGAGACACGGCCCAUACUCCUACGGGAGGCAGCAGUAGGGAAUCUUCCACAAUGGGCGCAAGCCUGAUGGAGCAACACCGCGUGAGUGAAGAAGGGUUUCGGCUCGUAAAGCUCUGUUGUUGAAGAAGAUGACGGUAUUCAACCAGAAAGUCACGGCUAACUACGUGCCAGCAGCCGCGGUAAUACGUAGGUGGCAAGCGUUAUCCGGAUUUAUUGGGCGUAAAGAGAGUGCAGGCGGUUUCUUAAGUCUGAUGUGAAAGCCUUCGGCUCAACCGAAGAAGUGCAUCGGAAACUGGGAGACUUGAGUACAGAAGAGGGCAGUGGAACUCCAUGUGUAGCGGUGGAAUGCGUAGAUAUAUGGAAGAACACCAGUGGCGAAGGCGGCUGCCUGGUCUGACUGACGCUGAGACUCGAAAGCAUGGGUAGCGAACAGGAUUAGAUACCCUGGUAGUCCAUGCCGUAAACGAUGAGUGCUAGGUGUUGGAGCUUCAGUGCCGGAGCUAACGCAUUAAGCACUCCGCCUGGGGAGUACGACCGCAAGGUUGAAACUCAAAGGAAUUGACGGGGGCCCGCACAAGCGGUGGAGCAUGUGGUUUAAUUCGAAGCUACGCGAAGAACCUUACCAGGUCUUGACAUCGACAGGUGGUGCAUGGUCGUCGUCAGCUCGUGUCGUGAGAUGUUGGGUUAAGUCCCGCAACGAGCGCAACCCUUGUUACUAGUUGCCAGCAUGGGCACUCUAGUGAGACUGCCGGUGACAAACCGGAGGAAGGUGGGGACGACGUCAGAUCAUCAUGCCCCUUAUGACCUGGGCUACACACGUGCUACAAUGGACGGCAACGAGUCGCGAACUCGCGAGGGCAAGCAAAUCUCUUCCGUUCUCAGUUCGGAUGCAGGCUGCAACUCGCCUGCAGAAGUCGGAAUCGCUAGUAAUCGCGGAUCAGCAUGCCGCGGUGAAUACGUUCCCGGGCCUUGUACACACCGCCCGUCACACCAUGAGAGUUUGUAACACCCAAAGUCGGUGGGUAGCCAGCCGCCUAAGGUGGGACAGAUGAUUAGGGUGAAGUCGUAACAAGGUAGCCGUAGGAGAACCUGCGGCUG